rnacentral:rRNA from 1 species
AUUGAACGCUGGCGGCAGGCCUAACACAUGCAAGUCGAGCGAGCGGCGGACGGGUGAGUAAUGUCUGGGAAACUGCCUGAUGGAGGGGGAUCACUACUGGAAACGGUAGCUAAUACCGCAUACCAUCAGAUGUGCCCAGAUGGGAUUAGCUAGUAGGUGGGGUAACGGCUCACCUAGGCGACGAUCCCUAGCUGGUCUGAGAGGAGGACCAGCCACACUGAAACUUAGACACGGUCCAGACGCCUACGGGAGGCAGCAGUGGGGACUAUUGCACAAUGGGCGCAAGCCUGAUGCAGCCAUUCCGCGUGUAUGAAGAAGGCCUUCGGGUUGUAAAGUACUUUCAGCGGGGAGGCGUUACCCGCAGAAGAAGCACCGGCUAACUCCGUGCCAGCAGCCGCGGUAAUUC